rnacentral:rRNA from 1 species
GCAUUAACGCUGGCGGCAGGCUCUAACACAUGCAAGUCGAGCGGUAGAGAGAAGCUUGCUUCUCUUGAGAGCGGCGGACGGGUGAGUAAUGCCUAGGAAUCUGCCUGGUAGUGGGGGAUAACGUUCGGAAACGGACGCUAAUACCGCAUACGUCCUACGGGAGAAAGCAGGGGACCUUCGGGCCUUGCGCUAUCAGAUGAGCCUAGGUCGGAUUAGCUAGUUGGUGAGGUAAUGGCUCACCAAGGCGACGAUCCGUAACUGGUCUGAGAGGAUGAUCAGUCACACUGGAACUGAGACACGGUCCAGACUCCUACGGGAGGCAGCAGUGGGGAAUAUUGGACAAUGGGCGAAAGCCUGAUCCAGCCAUGCCGCGUGUGUGAAGAAGGUCUUCGGAUUGUAAAGCACUUUAAGUUGGGAGGAAGGGCAGUUACCUAAUACGUGAUUGUUUUGACGUUACCGACAGAAUAAGCACCGGCUAACUCUGUGCCAGCAGCCGCGGUAAUACAGAGGGUGCAAGCGUUAAUCGGAACUACUGGGCGUAAAGCGCGCGUAGGUGGUUAGUUAAGUUGGAUGUGAAAUCCCCCGGCUCAACCUGGGGAACUGCAUUCAAAAACUGACUGACUAGAGUAUGGUAAGAAGGGUGGGUGGAAUUUUCCGGG